GUGCCAGCAGCCGCGGUAAUACCAGCUCUCCGAGUGGUAGGGAUGAUUAUUGGGCUUAAAGCGUGCGUAGCCGGCUUGACAAGUCUUCUGUUAAAUCCAGCAACCCAAUUGUUGGACUGCGGGAGAUACUGUCUAGCUAGAGAACGGGAGAAGCCGACGGUACUCUCAGGGUAGGAGUGAAAUCCUAUAAUCCUGGGAGGACCACCAGUGGCGUAGGCUGUCGGCUAGAACGUGUCUGACGGUGAGGAACGAAAGCUUGGGGAGCGAACCGGAUUAGAUACCCGGGUAGUCCAAGCUGUAAACGAUGCGGGCUAGGUGUUGGGGUGGCUACGUGCCACUUCAGUGCCGCAGGGAAACCGUUAAGCCCGCCGCCUGGGGAGUACGGUCGCAAGGCUGAAACUUAAAGGAAUUGACGGGG
rnacentral:rRNA from 1 species